rnacentral:rRNA from 1 species
CCUACGGGGGGCUGCAGUGGGGAAUAUUGCACAAUGGGGGAAACCCUGAUGCAGCGACGCCGCGUGAAGGAAGAAGGUUUUCGGAUCGUAAACUUCUAUCAGCAGGGAAGAAGAAAGUGACAGUACCUGACUAAGAAGCCCCGGCUAACUACGUGCCAGCAGCCGCGGUAAUACGUAGGGGGCGAGCGUUGUCCGGAAUUAUUGGGCGUAAAGCGCGCGCAGGCGGCUGUUUAAGUCUGGUGUUUAAUCCUGGGGCUCAACCCCGGGUCGCACUGGAAACUGGGCAGCUUGAGUGCAGGAGAGGAGAGUGGAAUUCCUAGUGUAGCGGUGAAAUGCGUAGAUAUUAGGAGGAACACCAGUGGCGAAGGCGACUCUCUGGACUGUAACUGACGCUGAGGCACGAAAGCGUGGGGAGCAAACAGGAUUAGAUACCCGAGUAGUC